CCUACGGGAGGCAGCAUUGAGGAAUAUUGGUCAAUGGGCGCGAGCCUGAACCAGCCAAGUCGCGUGAGGGAAGACGGUCCUAUGGAUUGUAAACCUCUUUUGUCGGGGAGCAAAAGACGCCACGCGUGGCGUUCCGAGAGUACCCGAAGAAAAAGCAUCGGCUAACUCCGUGCCAGCAGCCGCGGUAAUACGGAGGAUGCGAGCGUUAUCCGGAUGUAUUGGGUUUAAAGGGUGCGCAGGCGGAAGAUCAAGUCAGCGGUAAAAUUGAGAGGCUCAACCUCGUCGAGCCGUUGAAACUGGUUUUCUUGAGUGAGCGAGAAGUAUGCGGAAUGCGUGGUGUAGCGGUGAAAUGCAUAGAUAUCACGCAGAACUCCGAUUGCGAAGGCAGCAUACCGGCGCUCAACUGACGCUCAUGCACGAAAGUGUGGGUAUCGAACAGGAUUAGAUACCCGGGUAGUC
rnacentral:rRNA from 1 species